rnacentral:rRNA from 1 species
UGGAGUAUGUGGUUUAAUUCGAUGCAACGCGAAGAACCUUACCAGGCCUUGACAUGCACUAGACAGACUCUGAAAGGAGUCCUCCCCUUCGGGGCUGGUGCACAGGUGCUGCAUGGCUGUCGUCAGCUCGUGUCGUGAGAUGUUGCGUUAAGUCGCGCAACGAGCGCAACCCCUGUCCUUAGUUGCCAUCAUUAAGUUGGGUACUCUAGGGAGACAAACCCUCUCUGAGGGUGGGAAGGUGGGGAUGACGUCAAGUCAGGAUGGCCCUUACGGCCUGGGCUGCACACGUGCUACAAUGCCCGAUACAGAGGGAAGCAAUACCGCGAGGUGGAGCAAAUCCUCAAAAUCGGGCCCAGUUCAGAUUGUAGUCUGCAACUCGACUACAUGAAGUUGGAAUCGCUAGUAAUGGCGCAUCAGCUACGGCGCCGUGAAUACGUUCCCGGGCCUU